rnacentral:rRNA from 1 species
GACGAACGCUGGCGGCGUGCUUAACACAUGCAAGUCGAACGGUGAAGCGCCUUCCUUUUUGGUGGGUGUGGAUGAGUGGCGAACGGGUGCGUAACACGUGAGUAACCUGCCCCCUUCUUCUGGAUAACCGCAUGAAAGUGUGGCUAAUACGGGAUUUUCUGGGUCUGUCGCAUGAUGGGUCUGGGUAAGAUAUUGUUUCGGUGGGGGAUGGGCUCGCGGCCUAUCAGCUUGUUGGUGGGGUGAUGGCCUACCAAGGCGGUGACGGGUAGCCGGCCUGAGCGGGUGGACGGGCACACUGGGACGGAGACACGGCCCAGACGGGUACGGGAGGCAGCAGUGGGGAAUAUUGCACGAAGGGGGCAAGCCUGAUGCAGCGACGCCGAGUGAGGGAUGGAGGCCUGCGGGGUGUGAACCGCUGGCGCCAGUGAAGCAGGCCUGCCUCGUUUGUGAGGGGGUUGACGGUAGCUGGAGAAGAAGCGCCGGCUAACUACGUG